UCUUUCGCGGUCUUUUUUGCCAUUUCCUCCAUAUUCUUCACCUGCUCGGACGACCAUCUUCCUGUCUUGCACCACAGAGCAAAGUGCUCACAGUUUUUGCGAAAGAGAUCGUAUUCGUUUUCCUCUAGCCUGCCCAGCGCUCUGUUGACAACAUCCUCUGCAGACAGACAUGUGCCGUGUUCUAUUACGUAAAAACCAUCUUCCAAUCUGUAUUUGCCCUUCAUUACUUUUGCCUUUCCUGGACUCCUGAGUUUUUUAAUAUCCUGCGAAAAUUCUUUGAAGUAAUUGGAAUAUUCGAUGACUUUGAUAAUACCCUCCUCUCUGUCAACAUCUUCUACUAUAGCGUGAUGCCAAUAAAGACCGUAUAGCCGUUCGAAGGCGAUAUGAUCUCCUUUGUGAACCUGGGAAAAGUUGUAUACUCGUUCAAUGGGUACGUGGCGCUUCUGACCACCAGAACCAGUGUAUGUGUACGUUCCUCUCUGGAUAUCCAUCACUCAGGGACCUACUUGAUGUCAGAUGUUUUU